rnacentral:lncRNA from 1 species
UAAGAAUAUGAAAUGAAAAUGUUUCUCAGUUUGUCAUUGUCAGACAAUGAGAAUCUUCAUCUUCCUGUCAGAUAUCAUCUCUUAUGUAACACUUUGAGCUUAAUUGUUCUGUAAUUUGUACUUCAGUCCAGAGGCUCUUGCCGUUUUCCUGGGUUAUUUCAUCUGUGAUAUUUCAAAUUAUUUAUUUGUCAUUAAAAUAGAGCUAUCUCUUACCUCUUGCCCUGGUUCUGGUGUUUUAAAAUGACUACUGCUUGCUUGUAGCUAACCUUAACUAAUUCUUAUGCAUCUGCUUGUAAUGUUAUUGGAGUAGAGAUAGUGUUUAAGGGAUUGAUAUUUCUAAAUGAUUAGCAAUCCUAAGUUGUCUUGUACAUUACUCCCAAGUAAUGAGAGCAUACUAGAAUAAUUAAUUCUGUUAGUUCUUUAGAAUAAUUAAUACUGUUUCAGCUCUUGAGUAUUGUUGUAGCAUCAUUCUUUAACUGAAAUGUUGUUAAUAAAUGUAGAAGGUAAUUGUUUCUCUCCCUCCUGCCACAUUCUCUUCUCCAUUAGUUUUCCACUAGCAUUGUUUCAAUUUACAGUAAGACAAGACAGCUGGACAUAGAAUAGAAGCUUGGAAAGUUUGUCUGGUAGAUAGAGAUGAAUGCCUUGAGCAAAAGUGUUCUCUAAAGCUGAACUUGAAGCUUUCAUAUAUUGCAGUAGCAGUUCAUAUUCAGUGAACCCCACGACUCAGCAGUAAAAGGAAAUUGGCUUUGUUGUUGUUUUUUUUUUCUCCAUUCAUUUAUGGUAGUCUCUAAGGUAGGAACGUAUUCUGGCCUAGUAGGAGCCAGAGAUUUGAGUUUAGGAAAGAUGAUGUUCUGGAUGCAGGAAUAAGAGACAACCUUUAUUUUACUGUUUUGCCAUUCUCACUUCUGGCUACUUGGAGCUCUGCAGUGGGUUGUCUUGUGCAAAAUAAGAAGUAUCUUUAAAGUGUGAAAGUACUGUGCCUUGACUGAAUGACUGUUUUAGUACUAUAUCCAUGGUAUAGCUAUGAUGGCAUUAGAUUUUCAACUGGAAGAUGUUGGGAUUAGGUACAGUUUACUUUUAAAAGGAGAUGUGGGAUACCUUUCAGACUAGAAUUUGGUAUGUAGGAUUUUAAUUUCUGCAGAUGUUAAUACUGCUUCAGUUACAUGUGAGUUUUUGUUCAUACUUUGUUCUUAGUGUAUGAUACGUGUAAUAGAUCAUGAGCCACUUUUUUUUUAGUAUGUACUGUCAACUGCAACUAUUUCAAUGUCAACAUUUCCAGCUAUUAACAAAGUGAAUAUUAUGAAUGGAUUUUGUGGGAUUCAAUUUAUUGCCUUUCUAUGAUACAGUGUGCAUCUUCUUCCAAAAAAAAAAAAAAAUCAGCUUGACAACACAGCCAUUGAAUAAGCUGUAUGAACACGUUGGGAGCAACAUUAGUUGUUUCUAUACAUUUUUAUGUAGUAAUACACAAAGGAAAAUUGCACAGAAAAUGUUUGUUACUUGAAAGCAUACAUGUUACUGUAUUUGACAUUCCUUAAGGACGACUCCUGAUGCAAGG